rnacentral:rRNA from 1 species
CACGUAGGGCGCAAGCGUUGUCCGGAAUUAUUGGGCGUAAAGAGCUCGUAGGUGGUUUGUUACGUCUGCUGUGAAAACCUAGGGCUUAACCCUGGGCUUGCAGUGGAUACGGGCAGACUAGAGGUAGGUAGGGGAGAAUGGAAUUCCUGGUGUAGCGGUGAAAUGCGUAGAUAUCAGGAGGAACACCGGUGGCGAAGGCGGUUCUCUGGGCCUUACCUGACACUGAGGAGCGAAAGCGUGGGGAGCGAACAGG